GAUGAACGCUGGCGGCAUGCCUAAGACAUGCAAGUCGAACGAGAGGACCCACUGAUAAUUAUUGAAGCUUUGCGUGCUUGCACAAAAAGUGAAUUUAAUUUGAUGUGGAUUUUUCCUCUAGUGGCAGACGGGUGAGUAACACGUGGGUAAUCUACCUCAGAGUCUGGGAUAACGUUUGGAAACGAACGCUAAUACCGGAUUAUUCAUAUUUAGAUAACUAGAUAUGCUAAAAGGAGCUUCGGCUUCGCUUUGAGAUGAGCUUGCGGUGUAUUAGCUAGUUGGUGAGGUAAUGGCUCACCAAGGCAACGAUGCAUAGCCGGACUGAGAGGUCGAUCGGCCACAUUGGAACUGAGAUACGGUCCAAACUCCUACGGGAGGCAGCAGUUAGGAAUAUUCGUCAAUGGGGGAAACCCUGAACGAGCAAUGCCGCGUGAGUGAUGACGGUCUUUAUGAUU
rnacentral:rRNA from 1 species